rnacentral:lncRNA from 1 species
GCCAGGUGAUGCAGAUAAUUUGGGUCUCAAUACCAAAGGCCAUCACGUCCUCCCCAUCCACUCAUUAGAGUUUGUAUGUGAAAAAUCUGCAGGGCUGUUCAGAGCAACAGGGUGAAGCAGCCAGCUUCAGAGAACACUAUAAAGAGAUGACAGAUGAACACAUAUGGCCCAUUGGUACACAAGAACACCACCAUGGAUGGAGUGUCUAGAAAAGCCCUGUGCAUCUUUAGGAGGAAGUAAAUCCCACAGUGUUUGUGGGGUUCAAGUGCUGGUAAAUGUAAUACUGGGGCGAUGCGUGACAGUAGCAUUUGUCUUGUUGGCACUGCUAGCUUUAAAACGUGGGGGGAAGAGUUAAAGUGCUCUGUUGGCUUGACAGCCCAGUAGGGAUUCCUAACUGCAGCUGACUGAACAGCUGCUAUGCCUAUUAAUUGCAAACAGGUUAACCAGAAUUACCACAUAGCCCUGUGCAUCUUUAUGUGGAAGUAAAUCCCAUAGGGUAUACAUAGGGUUGAAAUGCUCGUAUAUGUACUAUAUAGAAGUGAAGCUUUAACAUGCAGAUGUUAACUACAUUCUGAGGGUGCAGAAUGUUGCCUUAGACAUGGAGAUGAUUAGUUAAAGGCAGCCUCUGCUGUCAUUCUGUGCAUAUGUAUGAUCAAUCCAAAAACAGGCAUCUGUAACAUCAACAUCCAAAUUCUGGCCAAAACCCCCCCCCCAAAAAAAACAACAACAUGCAAUCAGGGGAACUGACCAAGAGCUGUAAUUCUGUGCAUUUUCACCCAGCUGGCAUUUUUUUUCUUUUUGUUUGCAAGUUAAAAAAACAGCAACCAAGCCUCAUAUUUGUAACAAGACCAUCAUGGAUCAGUUGUUGAACAGGGUUUCUAAAUCUAGUUCUCUGCCUUGCUUCUGAGAAGGCUCAUCAUUAUUUCAUCAUCAAAAGAGACCAAGCAUAAAGCUCCUGCAGUUAGGAACCCUGCUUCCACACACUCCUGCCAUGUUGAUGGAGUUGCUGAAGAAAAGGUGCAAGCCUGUAAUAUAAGAUUUGGGCUGGGAGUGCUAUUGAAAAGAUUCCUUGUGGCCUAAGGUUUGAAAAUCUUGAAAACUAAUUUGCUACGAACUCAAGAACUCCAUCAUAUAUUUUUGUACGGUAAUCCUUGUACAGCUCAUGGUAUUCAGCUUGCUCCUGUGAAGGUCAAAAGUCAGAAGAGUGCACAAAUAUACUUGUAAGCUCCUCCCACAAUCUCCCCAUCUCCUUGAUCUUUAAAGUGCCCAUGUUUGGCAGGGAGCUUUGAAGCCAGACUCUACUUGCAUUUGCUUUAAGGUGAGUAGAGUCAGAGCUACAGUUCCCAGAAUCCUUC